rnacentral:lncRNA from 10 species
AACUAGGAAGGAGGGGAGGUUUGCUUGGGAGUUGUCCAGCUCCAAUCACCCAGAGGCCAGUCCCCAGGGCCCCGCACCCACGGGGGCUGAGCCCAGGGAGGCAGCAGGCUGUGUUGUCAAAGGAAGCCUCAGGCCACUGGGAAGUUGCUGGGAAAAGUUUGCAGCGCUCUCCCCCAGGUGCCCUCUGGGCCCCUGGGCCCCUGCUUCUCCAAGGACAGAAACAUGGGUUCCCUGAGGCCUCAUGCCUGGCUGCCCUCACUCUUUCCGAGGAGGGUUUCAAGAGCCAAGAGCUCAAAGAGAAUUAGACCCUGGGCCUGAGAGAUCCCAGAUCUCACGGGGUGGAGGCCCACUGUAUCCAACCCUCCCAAGACAGUAUUUUAUCAUCUACAGUCAGGAAGUGCUUCCUUAGGUCUAACUGCCACGCCUCCUGCUUUCAUGUAGGUAUGUUCUGCAAAUGUGGUAUCCAAAGGUCAGGCCAUAUCUGUAUCUUGGGUGAUAAGGAAGUC